CUUGCUCCACCGGAAAAAGAGGAGUGGCGAACGGGUGAGUAACACGUGGGUAACCUGCCCAUCAGAAGGGGAUAACACUUGGAAACAGGUGCUAAUACCGUAUAACAAUCGAAACCGCAUGGUUUUGAUUUGAAAGGCGCUUUCGGGUGUCGCUGAUGGAUGGACCCGCGGUGCAUUAGCUAGUUGGUGAGGUAACGGCUCACCAAGGCCACGAUGCAUAGCCGACCUGAGAGGGUGAUCGGCCACAUUGGGACUGAGACACGGCCCAAACUCCUACGGGAGGCAGCAGUAGGGAAUCUUCGGCAAUGGACGAAAGUCUGACCGAGCAACGCCGCGUGAGUGAAGAAGGUUUUCGGAUCGUAAAACUCUGUUGUUAGAGAAGAACAAGGAUGAGAGUAACUGUUCAUCCCUUGACGGUAUCUAACCAGAAAGCCACGGCUAACUACGUGCCAGCAGCCGCGGUAAUACGUAGGUGGCAAGCGUUGUCCGGAUUUAUUGGGCGUAAAGCGAGCGCAGGCGGUUUCUUAAGUCUGAUGUGAAAGCCCCCGGCUCAACCGGGGAGGGUCAUUGGAAACUGGGAGACUUGAGUGCAGAAGAGGAGAGUGGAAUUCCAUGUGUAGCGGUGAAAUGCGUAGAUAUAUGGAGGAACACCAGUGGCGAAGGCGGCUCUCUGGUCUGUAACUGACGCUGAGGCUCGAAAGCGUGGGGAGCAAACAGGAUUANAUACCCUGGUAGUCCACGCCG
rnacentral:rRNA from 1 species